UACAGAGGGUGCGAACGUUGUUCGGAAUCACUGGGCAUAAAGCGCACGUAGGCGGCACCGCAAGUGUGGGGUGAAAUCCCACGGCUUACCCGUGGAACUGCCUGGCAGACUGCGGUGCUAGAGGUUGGUAGGGGAGAGCGGAACUCUUGGUGGAGCGGUGAAAUGCGUAGAUAUCAAGAGGAACACCUGCGGCGAAGGCGGGUUGCUGGGCCGACACUGACGCUGAGGCGCGAAAGCCAGGGGAGCGAACGGG
rnacentral:rRNA from 1 species